rnacentral:rRNA from 1 species
UACAGAGGUCUCAAGCGUUGUUCGGAUUCAUUGGGCGUAAAGGGCGCGUAGGCGGUCACGCACGUCCGUUGUGAAAUCGCUCGGCUCAACUGGGCGGGGUCAGCGGAUACGGCGUGGCUGGAGCAAGCUAGGGGGCAAUGGAAUUCCCGGUGUAGUGGUGGAAUGCGUAGAUAUCGGGAGGAACACCAGUGGCGAAGGCGGUUGCCUGGAGCUUUGCUGACGCUGAUGCGCGAAAGCGUGGGGGAGCGAUCCGG